UACGUAGGGUGCGAGCGUUAAUCGGAAUUACUGGGCGUAAAGCGUGCGCAGGCGGUUGUGCAAGACAGAUGUGAAAUCCCCGGGCUCAACCUGGGAAUUGCAUUUGUGACUGCACGGCUAGAGUGUGUCAGAGGGAGGUAGAAUUCCACGUGUAGCAGUGAAAUGCGUAGAUAUGUGGAGGAAUACCGAUGGCGAAGGCAGCCUCCUGGGAUAACACUGACGCUCAUGCACGAAAGCGUGGGGAGCAAACAGG
rnacentral:rRNA from 1 species